ACACCUACCCUUCCUCUUGGCUUUAUCAAUUACGGAAUGGGAAGAGUGACUUCUAGUGGAAAGGAUUACAAGGGAUGUGGUAGAACCUUCCAGAAGCUAUAGUGAAAUAACUGGGAUGGAAGACUCAGUUCAUCAACUUGCUCAACUCUGAUGACCUCUUUACUACAACCACAAGCAGGGAUGGUCAGACCCUUGAUCUUAUCAUCUACCACAAGGUAUUCCAUUAAGCUUCAGAAUCCAUCCCUGGGGCUACACUAUCUUGACUGGGAAACCAGAGAAGCUUCUUAUCACUCUAGAAGAAACAACAGUGGCUCAGCAAACAGAAAUCUGCCAUGAACUUCAUCAGCAAAGGUGCUACUUUGGUCUCAAGAGACAACACCUGAGGGGGUUGCCUGGAGUAUUAUAGGGCCAUGUUUUGUUGUCUUAAUGUUAUCUAUGUCAACAUACUCUUUCCUUUACCUCCUUGUUGACCUAGAUCGGUUCUGAGCAGCUGUGGGACUAGGGUAGGGAGUUUCCACCACUUAUGCUGCUGUGGGUGCGUGAUAGCAUGACAUUGUGUGCAGACUCCCUAAUGUAAUCCAUGUGCUCCAAGGCACUGUACCUCCAACAGCAACUUCUCUAACUUUAGCAUAAAUUCAGAGGCCUUCUCUUGCACCAGUUGGGAAGUAGAUAGGAACUUUAUUUAGGUGUCCUCAGCCCUUAGAUUAAAUCGGCUAUUCUCCAUCCACAAACAUUACUGCGCUGUCCCCUGACAGUAUCACAUCUUCACUGUGUGUGUAAUAUCAACAACGGGACUCCUGAGGCUCUCUAGCAUUAGUCUUCGAUUCUCUGAACAAGUUUGUUGCCGUGUCUGUGAUAUGUUCAAACCCAAUAUCAAAGGCUUCCUCUUUAGGUAACUGGUCAUGGUCUCCAAAGAACAACUUUCAUUUUCCUUAGAACCUUGCUGCCUCACCCCUGAUUAUACUGCUUGAAUAACAACCUAUACCAGGGGUUGAUGAAUUACUGCCCUCAACCUAUUUGUGUACAGCUGGUGAGCUAAGAUUGAUUUUUAUAUUUUAAAAUAUUAAACAACUAAAUAUCCUUAGCUUCCCAGUCUGUAUUACAAUGUAAGCUAAUGCUUGUGUAACAAAACUUUAGGUCUGAUCAGCCCUCAGCCUACUCCUUGACUCUAUCAUACUGAUUCUCAUAAUCCUAAUUCUGAAGUAAUCUAGGGUGUGUGUAUAUUUUCUUAUUCUUACUAAAACUGUAACCUUUCUCCCAUUAAUCAAUCAAUUAGCUCUGUGCCCCCUCCCCCAGUUUAUAAAAUAUCAUUUAUUUAAUAAACUGGAGAAAUCUUUUUUUCUAGUAACUUAUCUCCUUAUAAAUAUCAAAACCUCUAAUCUCCUAGGUUUAAAUAAAUAUCAAAAUUACUGUCUACAGUAUGUGUAACCAACAAAAACACAAGAUAUAAAUAUACCAUUUAUGUUUUAGUUAUGAGAAAGAUCACAGCCAGAGUCACCUCCAAAUAUCAUUCUUACUUGUGACUUCUCACUUCUGGCAUACAGUCACACACAAUUCAGCUCUUAAUAUUACAGGCAAGAUACCCAGUCUUCUCUCAUUUACUUGCAGCAUAAGGGUUAAACCAAGCUCCCUCAAGGAUUAAGUUCUUCCUCUCUGUCCUCUAAUAGUUUCUUUCUAGCCAUAAUAGGUAUUUUUCCUAAACGACAGUUAAAAUUGCUGCAAUAAAUAAUAAAACAGUAAAAACAAAAACAAAUAAAUGGCAUGGCGGUAUUUUCAUUAAAACCUUUCAUGUACUAUGGCCAAAGGGCUAUAAAACUGUGCAUACCCUUUGAUCCUGCAGUACCACUGCUAAGUCUGUAU